UACGUAGGGGGGCAAGCGUUGUCCGGAUUUAUUGGGCGUAAAGAGCGUGUAGGCGGUUAGGUAGGUCCGUUGUGAAAACUCGAGGCUCAACCUCGAGACGCCGAUGGAAACCAUCUGACUAGAGUCCGGAAGAGGAGAGUGGAAUUCCUGGUGUAGCGGUGAAAUGCGCAGAGUAUCAGGAAGAACACCCGUGGCUAAGGCGGCUCUCUAGUACGGUACUGACGCUGAGACGCGAAAGCGUGGGGAGCGAACAGG
rnacentral:rRNA from 1 species